GAAAAAUAAAAACAGAAAAAUAAAAACACCCCUCAGUAGGUGUUAGUUCUCUUUGCUUGAUAUUAUUUUCUUUUUCUUCUUGCUAAAUUUCUUCAUAAAGUUGAGGACACCAAGCACAUGUUUCCAUGUUUCAACCAUAGGAACUUUAAUCUCCAAUUUCUUGAAGAUCUCCAUAAAGCACUUGACUUUCUUUUCCUUCCUAUGAUUUUUCUUUUAAUGACGAAGGGGCUUUUCAUAUGAUCUUUUCUUCUUUCCUCUCUUCCUUUUUUUCUCACUCUUCCCCCUCAACUUUCUCUUUUUCUUUCGUUUUAUUUUCUUCUUUAUUUUUGCACAUUUUCUAUUUUUCUUUUUUCUUUCAACCACUUGAAUGAUAAAGCUCCCUGGAUCUUGUAAUUUAGGAGGUAAUGUUCUCUGUAUGAUUGCAUUGCAAUUUCCUUGCACCUCAAUAGUUUCCUUCUCAAUAUACUUCCUUUCUUUCAUGAGAAGUUCUUUCAAAAAUUUCGCAUCUGAUGGUAUUUGCUGAAGUGCCUCAGAGAAUGGUAUGGUUAUUUCCAAUUUCUUGUGAAUCUCCAUAAAACGCUGCAAUUGCUUUUCUUUUUCCCUCCUAGAAUAUGUCUUUGGAUAGGGCAAGGGUUUUUCAUACUCCCUCUCUUUCAAUUGUACAACAUCUUCUUCUAUCUUUUCUUCAUCUAUCUUCUCCUCAACAACAACCUUUUCUGUUUCUAUCUCUUCUAUCUUUUUCACCUCUCUCUUUAUCUUGUCCUCAUCAAUUUGUGUCUCCAAAUUCCUUAAGGUAACUUCAUAGCUCUUGGAAUCAUAUUUCUCCAAAAAUUUGUGGAACUUUUCAUUAAGGCUUUUGACUUGUUCCGUCACAUCAACUAUUUGUUGACAAAGUUUUUGAUCAUACUCCCACGUUUCUAUUGCUGAAGAGUAUUGUUGCUACCACUGAUAUUGUUGCCUUUCUUCCAUGCUUCUAUGAGAAGAAAAUCUUGUAUACAUGUCUUGUGGCAAAAAUUCAUCAUUCUUUACAGUCUCCUCUAUGCCUUUGACAUGGUAAAUUUCUAAAUUCAUAAUUCUCUGAAAAAUUUCAUCAGAUUCUACACUUCUUUGUAUAGGCAUGAAAUGAGGCUCAGCAGCUUGUGCAUAUUGACUUUGAUCCAUGUAUGAGUAAGGU
rnacentral:lncRNA from 1 species